CUUUCAACAACGGAUCUCUUGGUUCUGGCAUCGAUGAAGAACGCAGCGAAAUGCGAUAAGUAAUGCGAAUUGCAGAAUCCGUGAGUCAUCGAAUCUUUGAACGCACAUUGCGCCCUUUGGUAUUCCGAAGGGCAUGCCUGUUCGAGCGUCAUUAUCACCCCUCAAGCUCCGGCUUGGUGUUGGG
rnacentral:rRNA from 4 species